UACGUAGGGUGCGAGCGUUAAUCGGAAUUACUGGGCGUAAAGCGUGCGCAGGCGGUUAUGCAAGACAGAUGUGAAAUCCCCGGGCUUAACCUGGGAACUGCAUUUGUGACUGCAUAGCUGGAGUGCGGCAGAGGGGGAUGGAAUUCCGCGUGUAGCAGUGAAAUGCGUAGAUAUGCGGAGGAACACCGAUGGCGAAGGCAAUCCCCUGGGCCUGCACUGACGCUCAUGCACGAAAGCGUGGGGAGCAAACAGG
rnacentral:rRNA from 1 species